rnacentral:rRNA from 1 species
UACGAAGGGGGCGAGCGUUGUUCGGAUUUACUGGGCGUAAAGGGCGCGCAGGCGGUCUUGUUUGUCGAGUGUGAAAGCCCCGGGCUCAACCUGGGAACGGCGCUCGAAACGGCGGGACUAGAGAUCGGGAGAGGAGCGUGGAAUUCCCAGUGUAGAGGUGAAAUUCGUAGAUAUUGGGAAGAACACCGGUGGCGAAGGCGGCGCUCUGGACCGAGACUGACGCUGAGGCGCGAAAGCGUAGGGAGCAAACAGG